rnacentral:rRNA from 1 species
UUGUUUGGAGAGUUUGAUUCUGGCUCAGGACGAACGCUGGCGGCGUGCUUAACACAUGCAAGUCGAACGGUAAGGCCCUUCGGGGUACACGAGUGGCGAACGGGUGAGUAACACGUGGGUAAUCUGCCCUGCACAUCGGGAUAAGCCUGGGAAACUGGGUCUAAUACCGGAUAGGACCACAGAACACAUGUCCUGUGGUGGAAAGCUUUUGCGGUGUGGGAUGGGCCCGCGGCCUAUCAGCUUGUUGGUGGGGUGAUGGCCUACCAAGGCGACGACGGGUAGCCGGCCUGAGAGGGUGUCCGGCCACACUGGGACUGAGAUACGGCCCAGACUCCUACGGGAGGCAGCAGUGGGGAAUAUUGCACAAUGGGCGAAAGCCUGAUGCAGCGACGCCGCGUGGGGGAUGACGGCCUUCGGGUUGUAAACCUCUUUCACCAUCGACGAAGGUCCGGGUUUUCUCGGAUUGACGGUAGGUGGAGAAGAAGCACCGGCCAACUACGUGCCAGCAGCCGCGGUAAUACGUAGGGUGCGAGCGUUGUCCGGAAUUACUGGGCGUAAAGAGCUCGUAGGUGGUUUGUCGCGUUGUUCGUGAAAUCUCACGGCUUAACUGUGAGCGUGCGGGCGAUACGGGCAGACUUGAGUACUGCAGGGGAGACUGGAAUUCCUGGUGUAGCGGUGGAAUGCGCAGAUAUCAGGAGGAACACCGGUGGCGAAGGCGGGUCUCUGGGCAGUAACUGACGCUGAGGAGCGAAAGCGUGGGGAGCGAACAGGAUUAGAUACCCUGGUAGUCCACGCCGUAAACGGUGGGUACUAGGUGUGGGUUUCCUUCCUUGGGAUCCGUGCCGUAGCUAACGCAUUAAGUACCCCGCCUGGGGAGUACGGCCGCAAGGCUAAAACUCAAAGAAAUUGACGGGGGCCCGCACAAGCGGCGGAGCAUGUGGAUUAAUUCGAUGCAACGCGAAGAACCUUACCUGGGUUUGACAUGCACAGGACGCCGGCAGAGAUGUCGGUUCCCUUGUGGCCUGUGUGCAGGUGGUGCAUGGCUGUCGUCAGCUCGUGUCGUGAGAUGUUGGGUUAAGUCCCGCAACGAGCGCA